CUAAAGAGUAACGGAGGAGCACGAAGGUUGGCUAAUCCUGGUCGGACAUCAGGAGGUUAGUGCAAUGGCAUAAGCCAGCUUGACUGCGAGCGUGACGGCGCGAGCAGGUGCGAAAGCAGGUCAUAGUGAUCCGGUGGUUCUGAAUGGAAGGGCCAUCGCUCAACGGAUAAAAGGUACUCCGGGGAUAACAGGCUGAUACCGCCCAAGAGUUCAUAUCGACGGCGGUGUUUGGCACCUCGAUGUCGGCUCAUCACAUCCUGGGGCUGAAGUAGGUCCCAAGGGUAUGGCUGUUCGCCAUUUAAAGUGGUACGCGAGCUGGGUUUAGAACGUCGUGAGACAGUUCGGUCCCUAUCUGCCGUGGGCGCUGGAGAACUGAGGGGGGCUGCUCCUAGUACGAGAGGACCGGAGUGGACGCAUCACUGGUGUUCGGGUUGUCAUGCCAAUGGCACUGCCCGGUAGCUAAAUGCGGAAGAGAUAAGUGCUGAAAGCAUCUAAGCACGAAACUUGCCCCGAGAUGAGUUCUCCCUGAGACUUAGAGUCUCCUGAAGGAACGUUGAAGACGACGACGUUGAUAGGCCGGGUGUGUAAGCGCAGCGAUGCGUUGAGCUAACCGGUACUAAUGAACCGUGAGGCUUAACCUU
rnacentral:rRNA from 1 species